rnacentral:rRNA from 1 species
GACGAAGGGGGCUAGCGUUGUUCGGAAUUACUGGGCGUAAAGCGCGUGUAGGCGGUUGUUUAAGUCAGGUGUGAAAGCCUUGAGCUCAACUCAAGAAAUGCACUUGAUACUGGAUGACUAGAGGACCGGAGAGGAUAGUGGAAUUCCCAGUGUAGUGGUGAAAUACGUAGAGAUUGGGAAGAACACCAGUGGCGAAGGCGGCUAUCUGGACGGUUUCUGACGCUAAGACGCGAAAGCGUGGGGAGCAAACAGG